GUGGGCCAGAGUCCCGUAGCCAGUGAAAACAUUUACUUGUAUUAUUUGUGGCCUAUCAGCCAGCGCUGUGCUCCGUCACGCUGUGUGUGAGAGUUAAAACGGGGCGCAGGGCUAAAAUCCAAAGCAAAACACACAAGGCUGCUUCUGAACAUAGCGGUUGUUAAUAGGAUCCACAGGCCUUUCCCAACAGGAUAACCACUAAGCCCGCGUGUGUGUGUGUGUGUGUGUGUGUGUCGGCCGUAGUAAAUGCAACAGUAAAUGAGGAGCACUAGGAUAGAAAGUGAGAAAGACAGAUGGAGAGAGUUAAUGGAGUAUGUGAACCGAGCUCCAGUCCACUGGAUACCUUUGAAGGAAAAUCAUCACGGGGUGAAGAAGAGGGAGAUUUUCUCAUUUGGGGGUAACAUUAAAAUAAGUAGCCAUUUGUCUCGUCAGGAGACGGAGGUUUCCUGGAAGCGAACGCGCGGCGCAGAAGCCAACAUCUGCACUGGAGAGUGUGUAAAGUCAGACCGGAGCGUUUGGGCUGUGGUGGUCGCGGUGGUUCGAGGGCCGGUCAUCCUGACCCCGGAUGUGAGAGGUGGGCAAUAUGUCACAUAAACUAAUAUUUCCAUCGACAUAUUUUGCAUUUGUAUAAACAAUAUGAAUUCUCCUGAGAGACAGCAGCUGCUCUGCGUUCACCUCGGCUGAACUCCCAACUGUCCUCCGUCCUUUUCAGCCACAAAUAAGCGGAGGAACCCUUAAAAAAAAAAAAAUGGAGGAACUCCCUGACCUCCCGAGCGCUGCCGGUCGGGCCCGGCGGUGCCGCAGCCGCUGGGUUUGGCCCGGGCGCACAGACAGCUGGCGGAGCGGCUGAAAAAGCGCUCAGGCCCAACUACCAGCCUGUCACUGAGCGUUCCCAGAGACAGCAAAGCCUCAGCCGUCAUACCAGCACACUCUCCAUCCCCUCAUCACCGUCCCAGCUGCAGUUUACAGCUCCAACAUGUUGUUCUGAUUGGCGCGCCGCCGCUCAGAGGCGUCUGCAGAACAAGACGAAGAGGAGAAGACAAGGGAGAGAUUAUCACCUAACCAAACAAUAGAUUCUCCAUGGCAGCAGAGCUAAGUAACCCCCCCCCCCCCCACCACCACCUCUGACCCUUGAUGAGUGGCCUGAUUAUAUUAGGGGAGAUCUAUUCCCCAUCUGUAACAGGCAUGUUGGAGUCAUAACAUCCUCAGAACCAAUAAACAGUCUUAAUAUUAAAGUGCUGUGGCCUAAGGACGUGAGGGGAAAAGACUGUUGUUAAGGCCUUCGACUAAAUGUCAUAUUUCUUCUUAGUGUAACAUUUACAGCUUCCAGCACUUGCUACGAGAUCCUGGAAUCAAUAAUGAUCUCACAAAUUUGCCUUUAUCCUCUGGGUGUCUGCGAAGUGUCUGCUAAAACCUUGGCAGCGGGUUGAAAUAUUGCUCCUCCUCGUUGCCUUUUUCCUGCGAGCCGCAGAGCCGAUGACACAAAGUUGAGAAGAAAAAGCUCCCCGUAACACAAAAAAAAACCUGCCAAAGAACGACACGAGCGCACACAGGAGCGUGCACGUGGCCAUUUAGCACAGGCCAGGCCCAAACGCUAAUCAGUCUCUGACUGUCGCAGGGAAACAGACACAACUAAGCCCCAUUAGUGUGGGCAUGCAUGUGUGCGUGUUCCGGGCUGGCUGCUACUUAUGACCCAACUCGGUUCCAGGCCUAUUCCCUGGUGGAGCUGGCAGAGGGCUGUUUAUCUGCAGGUCAGUUCACAGCUUUUAAAAGUGUCCUUAACAAGGCUUAGCGGGACCCGGAGGGAGGCAGCUGUGGGCCUGUCUGCCUGCGUGUCCUACUACGCUUCCUCCCAGCAGCGCGGGAGGCACGGGCCUGUGCAAGUCCAGGCGCAAGCCGCAGAGCAUUAAAACGCUAUUUGUUACCACAGAAAAAUUAGAAAUAUUUCCAAUUCUCUAAAACUCCUUGGCGAACGGAGCGCCGAUGACAGAUUCAACCACGACUCUGUUAAAUGAUUACUUGGCACCGGACCAUUUCCACAUGAUUUAAUUAUUCUAUUAGAAUCCUUCCUGAUUCAUCACAUGCCUCUCAGACCCCCUGCGCUGCUGAUUUAUGUCAUUUCACAGGCGGUAAAUGUUUUGUUAGACACUAGACGCAAAUUUGGGCUAAUUAAGAAUCGGCCUCCUUCAAAGCGGCGGCCCGCAUUCGCCGAGAGGCUGACAUUCCCGGGAUCGCAGCGACUGCAGACCACAGAUUCCAGCGCGUCCGUGGAUUUACAGCGGCAUGACAGCGCAGCCGAGUCUCGGGCCAAGUGGCUUUAGCGCCGGCUUUCAUGAAGCAGCGCGCCUGACCGAUCCGAGCCCGCCUUUUCUCCUGUCUCACCCCUGCAUUGUCGUCCCCAGCGGAUCAAUAUGUGCAAGCAACUUAAUCGCUCCAAUCAACAAAAAGGAGCUUCUAUGCUCAAUUGGCAGGGAAAAAAGCAACAAUUCUCAGUCGCCUGUGACUGAGCGAUCAAUGGUUCCCAUCCAGUUUAUAAGAUUGAACACGGCUAUGUGUGUCGUGAGCUGGUGUUCGUGUCGGCCCAAUCAAUGGUCUUCAUCCUUUUCAUUAGGCCCUGAGCAUGGUUUUCAUUAAAGGGAAACACAUUACGCCUUUGGGUAUUGGCUCAGCGUGUGCGUGAGUCCGGAUCGCAUGAAACGGCGGAUGAAAAGUGGGGGUAGAGUUUUACGGCUGAGUUCAGACAGUGCAGACAGAGACGACGGCGCAUAAUAAUCCGUUGUGGUAGUGUUUAGGCUAACUGGGCCUGGUCUCACAAGAGAAGAGUACAGAAAAGCAGCUCACGUCCCCACAGCCAUAAACACAACACUGGCAUUCAUUAGGGGAGAGCAGGGCAGCAAGGUUGCCGUUCUCUGAUUUGUACGUAAUGAGAGCAGCAUGUGUGUGUUUUUGUGCGUAUGGGAGUUUCAGAGUGCCUCAUUAACAAGGCAUUAGGCUGGCCUUGAUACCCAGCAGCCCGCCCUGCUGUAAUAGAAACUGAUUUUAUAAUGAACUUUAAGCACAGACCAAACCUGCUGCACCAAAUUACCCAAAACCCAAUCCCCCCCCCCAAAAAUAUUUCUUCACCAUUGAUCCUCAAAGCAGCCUGAGGUGAUCUGGCAAACCAGGAGGAACAGAUCGAAAAUGUUGUUGAGCGAAAUAAGAAACAAAACUGCAGGGUGAGGCGCUAAAGGGCUGGACAGGAGGAAUGCAUCUGAUAUGAACCAGAGUUUCACCCGGGUCGUGUAAAAGAUGAAUCUGAGCGGAGUGGAGUUUAUUAGUAGGACGCGAAUGGCUGUACCCUCCUAGUUCAUGUACUUAAGUACCGUGAGCUUAGUGUUUUGUGGAGGGUCAUUUGGCUAAACAUGAAAAGUAGGAAAUGAAGCACAGCUCUGCAGGAGAAAUAGGUCAAGGUCAUUGGGGAACAUGGGAUAGCUGGGUAUUUAUAAACAGACCCAAUGGGGAGAAGAAGACCCAGAAACUUGCUGUGACCUCCUCCAACUCCACGCAUGCUUCAUGGAAGAGGAUGCAGCUCACGCCAGCCUUUCUCAGCGUCCAUGAAUCAAAGACUUUUACGCAUUAAACAGGCGAUGGCUGCACAGACGCUGGAGGACUUGAGAAAACUUACAUCUCGGUCAUGCUGUCGGGCAGGUUGGCUGGGAUGGCGGUGAGGCCUUUGCCUCGACAGUCCACGAUGUUGUUGCUGCAGGUGCACAUGGCGGGACACGAGCCUCCGCCCACGCUGCACGGCUGCAGGCCCAGAGCCUCCUGGUGACCUGGAGGGGAGAAGAGACGACAGCGGUGAGAGGAGGCGGCGCGAGCGGCUCCCGCGGGUGGACGUGGAGGCCGUCGGUGAGAGCAGCGGGGCUCGGGGUCGCAGCCGCAGACGCGUCGACGGGGGAUUUCUGCGGUGACACGAGGCGGCUCUUCAACUCAAGCCCUUUGUGAGAAGCAAAAACACACAGCUCCUUGGAUGUUUUGACAUCCUGAAGAAGAAGUGAAAUAUCCCUACUGGUGACUUUAAUAUGGAGCUGUACAUGCUUGAGAAUCACUGGGCAAGAAACUAGGUUAUUCAUCAAAGGGUGUCGUAUUGAGAGGAAAGACAAGAAUAAUAGAGUCGCAGCACCAAUUGAAGGUCUCCCAAUGACAUUCAUUGAUCUCUCUGCAGUCUGCGCUCUCUGGGUCGAACUUAUUCCAUUCUACACAUCCGCCCAACCUCCAAAGCCUCCCCUCCUUUUAUUUUUUUAUUUUUAUGAAAUGCUUCAACUUUUUAAUUUGCAUACAAAGCACACAGCGCGUCGCGCUGCCUCCCAAAACCUGCUCAAAUAGCUGUGGUGCUGUCAACGACGCGGUGAAGAGCAGGCGUUUGGUGUGUGUGUGUGUGUGUGUGUGUGUGUGUGUGUGUGUGUGUGUGUGUGUGUGUGUGUGUGUGUGUGUGUGUGUGUGUGUGUGUGUGUGUGUGCGAGCCUAACCCAGAUAAAAUGAAUAAAACAGACUUUUAAAUGGCCUCAUUUACACAGCAUUACUAAUCUGAGUUUCAGAACAUGAAUAUUUGAUGACCUCCCUAUCUAUCGCUCAGCGUAUGUGGAAAAUGUUGGCGAGCGAGUGAAAGGGGGAGAGAAUCAGGCAGAGGAAGACAGAGUGAGUGAUGGUGAGAGUCACCAACAGAGAAAAGCACAGCACUCCAAAUCUUAACUUCCAAAAAAAUAUUAAAUAUUGAACAAGUCCGGCCAAUUUUAAUGAAGUAGAGACGAGGCGAGAUGCUCUGACAAAUCUGGGAAGCGGGUAAACACGACAAAUAGCACAAAGACAGCGAGCUGAUGCCUGCGUGGCUGCUCAACCCCCAUGUUUGCAGGCCCUGUGAUCUGGAAUGGCAGAGGUUUGACAGAUCUGGGAUCAGGUGUAGGGCAGAGAAGAACCCCCUUCUGAUCCAACAUGGCACAUUUGACAGCCCUGGGAUCGGGGAGAGGUCGGAGCGCAGCUGGAAUGGCCUGUGCCAUGACAGCUCCCUGACAGGUAUUCUGGAGUCACUCUUGGUACCUUCUGCCUGCCUCCUUGGUUCCAAGCCCCCUCUACCCCCCACAUCUACCACGUUGCUGUCAUAGAAGCUGAAACUGGCACAGGCACUAUUAUUUUGAUCCCCCGUAAAAGAUGAAGAGGAGCAAAGACGGUGGAUGUUUCGGGCCAUAAAAUCACAGUGGAAGCCAUUCAGACAAACCACAGUCACUCAGAUCCAAACAAGAAUCAGUGCAUCAGGAGUAAUUAGAAUGGAAAUAAGACAGCAAGGGCGUCUACUGUAGCUCAGAGCUAUGUAUUUACUGAUUCUGUCAAAGGGAGCUGAUAAAUAGUAGGAGCUGAUGUUACUGUUCAUUGUUUAAACAUAAACAGUAUUUCUUUGUGAUGAGAAGUUACAAAAGCCUUUUGGUUUCUUUGGAAAGUGAACAGAAAUGAGCCGCUGGUACAUGCAUCACAGUCCUGUAACUUAUAAUAAUAAAGGUAAAACUGUUUGCUUUGAAAACAAUAUUGUAAAGCUAAAUUUUCAUCCAAAACUGCUUUCUGUUCUUAUUUGUGACUUUUUUUCUAACAUUAACUACAGUUUGUAAACCUCCCUCACAUUUUAAAGGCUGAAAAUAAUAAGAUGCUGCAUUGUUUUUCGA